rnacentral:rRNA from 1 species
CAGCCGCGGUAAUACGUAGGUGGCAAGCGUUGUCCGGAAUUAUUGGGCGUAAAGGGCUCGCAGGCGGUUUCUUAAGUCUGAUGUGAAAGCCCCCGGCUCAACCGGGGAGGGUCAUUGGAAACUGGGAAACUUGAGUGCAGAAGAGGAGAGUGGAAUUCCACGUGUAGCGGUGAAAUGCGUAGAGAUGUGGAGGAACACCAGUGGCGAAGGCGACUCUCUGGUCUGUAACUGACGCUGAGGAGCGAAAGCGUGGGGAGCGAACAGGAUUAGAUACCCCCGUAGUCCCUGUCUCUUAUACACA